UGCCAAAAUAAAUAACUCGGGCAGGAAAGCAGGAGUCAGGAAAUUGAAUGUGGGGUGGUUUUUUUGUGUUUCUGGCGAAGUUUCCCUUGAGUGAUUUCCUUUGGAGGCCGCUGCUGCUGCCCGCGGAGCGCAUCCCGCUCCUCCGGCUCCUCCGGCGGCACCGCUCCUCCCCGCCAGCCUGCAUCCACCCGCCAGCACAACAAAAAUGUGCCGUUUCACUGUCCCUAUAAUGCACAGAGGAAAUAGGAUUAGGUCCAAAUAGCGGCAAGUCUGGAUAUGUCACAUGGAAAUUGCAACUGCCAAAACAAUCUACCAGGAGCACAUCAAUAAAAAUAACUUCCACAUACUUCCUCAGCGAGCCAAGGAAAUGACACUCAGUGGCUGUCGAUGCUGAGGAUCUCCCAAAUCCCCCAAAAAGCUGCAAUUACCGACGGCCCCGGCAAAUGCCCAGCCCCGCUGCGGCAGGACCCGCUCGAUGCAGCCUGCACUCGUUAAAUUGAAUUUUUCCGAGAAAUGAUGCUCGGUUGGCAAAUUGACGGUGGAAAUUGAAAGCUUGGAGGGGAGUGACACACUGCAAUGCCAUGCAAGCUUGGCCUGGGAGCAGCAUUACAUUUGGGUAGUUGAAUUACUUCCUGGCUCUAUUUAGAAAAGUGGCUCAGACUUUUACACUCCUGCUGAAACGAGAGAGCUGUGAGCCUGUCGUGCUGCAGAGAGAUGCUUCUCUCCCCUGCCCUCACCAUGGCCCUGCUGCAGACCCUCUGUGCCCUGCUGGACACGUGCCCUGGGAAGUGGCUGCCCAGGACUGGUUUGUGCAGCACCAGCUCUGCCUCUGCUGGAUGGAGACCUGGCUGCACAGUGCCCUUUGAGGUGUUAAGGGAAGGAGAUUCUUCUCCAAGACAAGAGACUGAGAAUUUGAAGAAUGGCAGAAGAGCAAGAAGACCAAAUGAAGGGAAUGUGGGAGAAUCAUGAUCACUAUGAGCUGCUUCUGUGAGGAAAUGGUGGGCAGGACAUGGUGAGCAGGAGAUGGUGAGCAGAAAAGCCAAACCCAGUCAGACUCUGUUAGUGCACAGGUAUUGCAGCACAAUCUGUUUUCCAGGUGUGUGCUAAAAUCCCAGCAUCCUACUAUCAGAGAGACUUGUGGUACCCUGGUUUGGUUCUCACCAGAGCUGAAUGGGACCCAAGAACGUUCCAGAGUUUCAUGCAGCCCAGUUUCCAGUGUCAAAUCAUGAAGGGUCUGUGGUGUGGGCUCAUUUUGCAGAGCUCCUUGCUGUGCUGGACAAGGGCCUUGCACAGAGGACUCUGCUGUGUGUUAGCCAUGUCCUUUUUUCUGUAGAGAGAGAAACAGGCCAUGUGUCUAGCUCUCUGUAUCCAGCAAAGAGUUGCAAAGCACAGCAGGAGCAAGCAGCAGCAGGCCUGGUGUUCUCCUCUCCUGCCCCACAGCCAUUGCCAGGAAAGCCUGACAGCCUCAGGCAGAAAGAUGGUUAAUCAAAUAGUAACCACCCAGCAGCACCAAGACUGGCUGGUGACUCCAGAAAAACCUUAUUUUGAUCCUGCAUCUUGCACUUGGCUGCUGAAAACAGCUUCUGAGCUUGGAUCCAGCUGAAACUCUGGAAAACUCCUGGUUCCCAUUCAGCUUUCAUAAGGGAACCAAAUCAGAAUACCACAAAUCUGACAGCAGGAGGCUGCUGCACACCACUGCCUUUGUGGUGCACAUUGCUGUCUGGCCAAGGAGCAGAAGAUGAAGAGCUUGUCUGAUAUUUGCAGGUCAGGGCCCCCUGUAAGAGCUGUGGCACUGGGACAGGAGAGCAGAGAGGAAUUCACAAUGACUGUGCUGAUUUCAGACUGGGAAUAGAUUUGCUUUUCAUUCUCUCAGACAAGCAAUUAGAGCUGUCUCCCCAAGCAGUUCCCACCCAGCAAGGAGUUCCAAAAUAUGAAAAUUCUUCCCUUUCAUAUUAUUUUCCAGAUGUUCAGUCUUCGCUUCCCUUUAUUAAUGCUUCUUUUGCCAGGGUGAUUCAUUUAACAAUUAGCUAAGGUAUAGGGUGGAGCAGCUGUUACAGAUAUUACCUGUGUCUCUGAGGCAAAGCUUCUUACUGUUGUUUUCUAUCCAUCUCUCCUUCCCUUCUAGGCCUUUAAUAACCUGUAAGAAUUAUCUUUAAAUUAGUGGGAAGCUCUGAUUCCUCAACCAGGUCAACAGAUGGCUCACUUGGACCUGCCUUCAAUUAAGCAGGUGGAACAUGCCCAAGGAGCAGGCAGACAAAUGCAGCUGUUCCUUCCCCAAAUCCCACUGCAGAUCUUAUGGGAAUUACUCACCAGCUCCUGUGUGAGGGUUCUUGUUCUAUUGACCUUAGAACUUUGCAUUCAAACUUCCAUCACCUGGCUGCACCUUCCAGGAGAGUGAUCCUUCCCAUGACAAUGAGUUGUGGGUGUGAUGAUGCUGAGGUACCCGAGCAUUGCUGGCUCCAUGGUCUACUUUCAAUGUUUGAUUGUUGGGAAAACUCCAAAAUCCUAUUUUUUCUCAUCAUAAGCACUGAUGUAUGUCUUUGGUUCCCAUAUUAGCGGAGAUUGAAGGUGGGGUUCAAACCUUGAGCCUCCUGCUGUUUUGGUUUGGGAUGAGAGGAAGCAGCCUCAAGUUGAGCCAGGGGAAGUUUAGAUUGGAUAUUAGGAAAAAUUUCUUUUCCUUAAGGGUUGUCAAG